AGUGAACGCUGGCGGUAGGCCUAACACAUGCAAGUCGAACGGCAGCACAGUAAGAGCUUGCUCUUACGGGUGGCGAGUGGCGGACGGGUGAGGAAUACAUCGGAAUCUACUUUUUCGUGGGGGAUAACGUAGGGAAACUUACGCUAAUACCGCAUACGACCUACGGGUGAAAGCAGGGGAUCUUCGGACCUUGCGCGAUUGAAUGAGCCGAUUUCGGAUUAGCUAGUUGGCGGGGUAAAGGCCCACCAAGGCGACGAUCCGUAGCUGGUCUGAGAGGAUGAUCAGCCAAACUGGAACUGAGACAAGGGCCAGACUCCGACGGGAGGCAGCAGGGGGGAAUAAUGGAAAAAGGGGGAAAGGCUGAAACAGGCAAACCGGGUGGGUGAAGAAGGGCUUCGGGUUGUAAAGGCCUUUUGUUGGGAAAGAAAAGCAGCAGGUUAAUACCCCGCUGUUCUGACGGUACCCAAAGAAUAAGCACCGGCUAACUUCGUG
rnacentral:rRNA from 1 species